AACGAACGCUGGCGGCGUGGCUAAGACAUGCGAGUCGAACGGACUGGUCAAUUUAUUGAACAGUUAGUGGCGUAAGGGUUAGUAACGGAUAGGUAACGUACCCUGUGCUUUGGGAUAGCGUCAGUUGCCUUCGGGCAACUUUCCGAAAGGGGCGGUAAUACCAGAUAAUAUCAUUUGUCGAUAGGCAGAUGAUCAAAGAUUUAUCGGCAUAGGAGCGGCCUGUUUCCUAUCAGCUUGUUGGUGAGGUAACGGCUCACCAAGGCAACGACGGGUAGCGGGACUGAGAGGUUGACCCGCAACAUCGGGACUGAGACACUGCCCGGACCUCCACGGAGGGCUGCAGUAACGGAUCUUGUGCAAUGGGCGAAAGCCUGACACAGCGACGCCGCGUGUAGGAUGAAGUCUCUCGGGAUGUAAACUACUGUCAGGGGGAAGAAAGUGCGCUCCGGCGUAUUGAUCUAACCCAGAGGAAGUCACGGCUAACUUCGUGCCAGCAGCCGCGGUAAGACGAAGGUGGCAAGCGUUGUUCGGUAUUACUGGGCUUAAAGCGUGUGUAGGCGGAAAUGUAAGCGUUGCGUGAAAGCCCCCGGCUUAACCGGGGAAUUGCGCAACGAACUGCUUUUCUUGAGGCAAGUAGGGGUGCAUGGAACUCUUGGUGGAGCGGUGGAAUGCGUAGAUAUCAAGAGGAACGCCAGUGGAGAAAUCGGUGCACUGGGCUUGUCCUGACGCUGAGACACGAAAGCGUGGGGAGCGAACGGGAUUAGAUACCCCGGUAGUCCACGCCGUAAACGAUGCCUACUAGGUUGUGGUGGUUCUGACACCAGCACAGCCGAAGCAAAAGUGCUAAGUAGGCCGCCUGGGGAGUACGGUCGCAAGGCUA
rnacentral:rRNA from 1 species